rnacentral:rRNA from 1 species
UACGUAGGCAGCGCGCGUUGUUCGGAGUUACUGGGCGUAAAGGGUGUGUAGGCGGUUGUUUAAAGUUUGGUGUGAAAUCUCCCGGCUCAACUGGGAGGGUGCGCCGAAUACUGAAUGACUUCGAGUACGGGAGAGGUGAGUGGAAUUCCUGGUGUAGCGGUGAAAUGCGUAGAUAUCAGGAGGAACACCGGUGGUGUAGACGGCUCACUGGCCCGGUACUGACGCUGAGGUGCGAAAGCGUGGGGAGCAAACAGG